GAAAUGCGAUAAGUAAUGUGAAUUGCAGAAUUCAGUGAAUCAUCGAAUCUUUGAACGCACAUUGCGCCCGCCAGUAUUUUGGCGGGCAUGCCUGUCCGAGCGUCAUUUCAACCAUCAAGCCCCCGGGCUUGUGUUGGGGACCUGCGGCUGCCCGCAGGCCCUGAAAACCAGUGGCGGGCUCGCUGUCACACCGAGCGUAGUAGCAAUCACCUCGCUCAGGGCGUGCUGCGGGUUCCGGCCGUUAAACAGCCUUACAAAACCCAAGGUUGACCUCGGAUCAGGUAGGAAGACCCGCUGAACUUAAGC
rnacentral:misc_RNA from 1 species